GGGGCUGAUCGGAUUCGACUACGUGCGCCGAGGCAGGGGAAGCGUGCCGGUGCAGGCUGGAGACCACCGUAUAAGCGUCGCGGCAACCAAUUAAGCGCCGAUAAGAAUCAGCGCGACUACGCCCUCGCUGCCUGAGCAGCGACGGCUAGUCUGUCGGCCCGAGGGUGCUCUCACCUCGGUCCCCGGCAUCAUCUUCGGGAGCUCACCGUCGCCGCCGGUCGCGGGUGGCGACGGGACAACUCACAGCGACUGGGAUCGUCAUCUCGGCUUGUUCGCGUGACUGAGAGAUCCGAGUAGAGACGCAGCGGACUGCGCACGGAGAAGCCCUGCCGACUCGACGGAGGACCCGGGUUCAAUUCCCGGCAGCUCCACGG
rnacentral:tmRNA from 2 species